rnacentral:rRNA from 2 species
AAUGCAGUCGAGCGGAAGAUGGGAGCUUGCUCCCUGAUGUUAGCGGCGGACGGGUGAGUAACACGUGGGUAACCUGCCUGUAAGACUGGGAUAACUCCGGGAAACCGGGGCUAAUACCGGAUGGUUGUUUGAACCGCAUGGUUCAAACAUAAAAGGUGGCUUCGGCUACCACUUACAGAUGGACCCGCGGCGCAUUAGCUAGUUGGUGAGGUAACGGCUCACCAAGGCGACGAUGCGUAGCCGACCUGAGAGGGUGAUCGGCCACACUGGGACUGAGACACGGCCCAGACUCCUACGGGAGGCAGCAGUAGGGAAUCUUCCGCAAUGGACGAAAGUCUGACGGAGCAACGCCGCGUGAGUGAUGAAGGUUUUCGGAUCGUAAAGCUCUGUUGUUAGGGAAGAACAAGUACCGUUCGAAUAGGGCGGUACCUUGACGGUACCUAACCAGAAAGCCACGGCUAACUACGUGCCAGCAGCCGCGGUAAUACGUAGGUGGCAAGCGUUGUCCGGAAUUAUUGGGCGUAAAGGGCUCGCAGGCGGUUUCUUAAGUCUGAUGUGAAAGCCCCCGGCUCAACCGGGGAGGGUCAUUGGAAACUGGGGAACUUGAGUGCAGAAGAGGAGAGUGGAAUUCCACGUGUAGCGGUGAAAUGCGUAGAGAUGUGGAGGAACACCAGUGGCGAAGGCGACUCUCUGGUCUGUAACUGACGCUGAGGAGCGAAAGCGUGGGGAGCGAACAGGAUUAGAUACCCUGGUAGUCCACGCCGUAAACGAUGAGUGCUAAGUGUUAGGGGGUUUCCGCCCCUUAGUGCUGCAGCUAACGCAUUAAGCACUCCGCCUGGGGAGUACGGUCGCAAGACUGAAACUCAAAGGAAUUGACGGGGGCCCGCACAAGCGGUGGAGCAUGUGGUUUAAUUCGAAGCAACGCGAAGAACCUUACCAGGUCUUGACAUCCUCUGACAAUCCUAGAGAUAGGACGUCCCCUUCGGGGGCAGAGUGACAGGUGGUGCAUGGUUGUCGUCAGCUCGUGUCGUGAGAUGUUGGGUUAAGUCCCGCAACGAGCGCAACCCUUGAUCUUAGUUGCCAGCAUUCAGUUGGGCACUCUAAGGUGACUGCCGGUGACAAACCGGAAGAAAGGUGGGGAUGACGUCAAAUCAUCAUGCCCCUUAUGACCUGGCUACACACGUGCUACAAUGGACAGAACAAAGGCACCAAACC